rnacentral:lncRNA from 1 species
CACGCGCGUAUGGGAAAGGGGAAGAGGAACGAAGGAGCUAGAGCCGUGCCGAGCUCCCUCCUCUCCCGCCGGCGAGCUAGAAGGGCGGCGGACGGCUAGGCGAGCUCCCUGGCCUACCGGCGAGCGCGCGGGCGUCGCUCCCUCCUCUCCCGCCGGCGCCACACCUGUGCGUCAGCCAUCCGUGUGCGGUCCGUGCGAGGCGCCGCUCCAGGCGUGCAGGCUUCCACGCGCCUCCUUCCUCGCUCGCCGUCGCCCUCCCUUCCACUGGUAAGUGAUUCGCUCUGCUCCAUGUGCGUGAGUGGCUUCGAGUUCGAGAUGGCAAAUUUGAGUAAAUUCCGGAGCUCUUGAACUUUUGAAAUUGGUUCCGAUUCUACGUGCCUUGUUCUUAAUCGAGUGUGGU